rnacentral:rRNA from 1 species
UGGGGAAUUUUGGACAAUGGGGGCAACCCUGAUCCAGCAAUGCCGCGUGUGUGAAGAAGGCCUUCGGGUUGUAAAGCACUUUUGUCCGGAAAGAAAACGCCGUGGUUAAUACCCGUGGCGGAUGACGGUACCGGAAGAAUAAGCACCGGCUAACUACGUGCCAGCAGCCGCGGUAAUACGUAGGGUGCAAGCGUUAAUCGGAAUUACUGGGCGUAAAGCGUGCGCAGGCGGUCCGCUAAGACAGAUGUGAAAUCCCCGGGCUUAACCUGGGAACUGCAUUUGUGACUGGCGGGCUAGAGUAUGGCAGAGGGGGGUAGAAUUCCACGUGUAGCAGUGAAAUGCGUAGAGAUGUGGAGGAAUACCGAUGGCGAAGGCAGCCCCCUGGGCCAAUACUGACGCUCAUGCACGAAAGCGUGGGGGAGCAAACAGGAUUAGAUACCCUGGUAGUCCACGCCCU